rnacentral:lncRNA from 1 species
GGAAGCCAAUGCACUAUAUUAGUCAAGGUUUUUACAACAAGAUUUCUAUAGAGACCUCCAUGUCAAAAGUAUAGACAAUCUCUCUAACCCUUUAACUAAAAGUCUCACUUUAAACAAUCCUCAAAGUGUCAGAACUCCACGAGUUCACCUCCUGUAAUCCCAAUAGGACAACAACAAUCUUUCCAAAGAUUGAUAGAAGACUUGAUCAAUAUGGUGAACACCAAUUUGUGUAGAUCUUGAUCAAAACAGUAUGCACAAUUCUCUUCCUCCUUAAUAAACUCUUCCAAGAAAGAUCUCCUCCGUCUUCUUGAUGAGUUCUUAGAGCCUUUACACAGAGAUCACAAUCUGAAAUAUCAAAUGAAAGUUAGAAUAUCUAAAGUCAUUGUGAUCAAUAGAAUCACGUCUAUUUAUAGUUUUCUACAAACCAGACGCUUCUAUAGUCCACUUUGCUACUAAUGUAGUCGACUGUCAUCAGACAGUUAUAACAGUUAAAACAAAUUAGCAGCAGUCAUAACAACCAAAUUGAUUUUGCAUUUAAUACAGUUGACUUGCAUUUAAUGCUUUAGCAAAGAGUUGAAAUAUAGUCUUUACAGCACAAAAGCAUUAACAGACUUUCAAAACAAAUAACUAACUAAGUCAAAUUCACUACGCAUGCAGUCGACUUAGACACUUCAACUCAGUUUGAAAUAUUUUUCAAUGCAAAAUCACUCACAACACUGCCUUUGAAAAUCUGUGCAAAGUCACGAGUUUUAAUCAACUUACUUCAUAAUGAAGUUGACUUAAAGCUUGCAGUUUUGCCACACAAUAUAAGUUCAACAAAGUGCAUGUGGUUUUCUUUUCUAAAACAUAUGCAAUGCAAUCACAAAAGAUGUAUCCAAUGUAAAAUCAGUGAAUAUACAUAUAUAUACGAGAAUCAACACAAACAUGUUCAUUAAGAUAUCAUUCACAAUAAAGAAUUGAACAUGUAACACAUAACAAUACAUGUGUUAUUAAUAAUGUGUUGUCAUCAUAAAAAACCAGAGCACUAUGAGAUUAAGGUUUAGCUAAACCAGUGUUUCCCUUAUCAACAAUCUCAACACUUAGUAAUAUCUGUUUUUUAUGAUGACAAGACAUAAUUAAUAACACAUGUGUGAUCUAUGUUACAUGUUUAAUGUGUACAUGCUAUAUGCUUUUGAUCAAUGUGUUAAAUUUGUUUUAAGCAUAAUUGAGAACAUGUUUGUGUUGUUCAUUACAUAUCACUGUGUUACAUAUGUGAUUUUAUACGUGAUUGCAUGACAUAUGUUUAUGAGAGAAGAAAACCACAAGCACUUAUGUUAAAACUUUAAAUGUGUGGCAAAACAACAGUUUUAAGUCGAUUUCAUCAUGGGGUGAAUCGAUUAAAACUUGUGCCUUUGCACAAACUUUUUUCAAGUGUGUUGUGAGAUUUUUCAAAGAGAAAAGUUUUUCAAAACAUGUUUAACAUUGUUACAUAAUUGAUUGUCUGUGUGUUGUAUUCGAUUAAGUUUGUUGAUGUUUUGAAAUUUUGUUAAUGCUUGACAUAACUAUCUAACGAUCAUAUUUUUAAUUGUGUUGACCAAGCAUUAAAUGAUAAUUGACUGCAUUAAUUGGGCAUUCAAUUAAUUGUUGUGUUUGUUGCUAACUGCUAUAACAGAAUUGUCAUAUUUGAUUACAUUAGUAGCUUAGUCGAUUAAAAUGCGUCUGACAUGUGAUAUUCUAUAAAUUGACGCAAAUUUGAAUUCUGUAAGAACUUUUGUGAUUCUAACAUUUUUGAUAUCUUUUGCAGAAAGUGUUAUCUUACAGAAAGAGAGAGAAAGCUCCAAGAAACAAGAUUGACCAUGGUGAUCAACAACUUGUGAUUUCUUGAAGAGCAAGACUGAUCAAAGGCUGAACAAAUUUGCACAUUUGGGUGUAACUGCGAGAUCAGAUUCUGCAAUCUUUUGAAGAUUGGUUUGAGGUUCCCUAUUGUGAUUACAAGAAUAAAAAUUGUGGUGUUCUUGACUUUGAGAGUGUCUCAAAGGGUUUAUACGGCAGGAGAAGGGAUUCUUGUUGCUGGUCUAGUUUUGUAUUGCCUAUAUUUUGAUUGGAGGGUUAGGGAGCUGUUUUACAUUUUUUAUGUGAAGUCUUCUAUAGAAACCUCGUUGUAAAAAUCUUAAUCAUUAUAGUGCAUUUGCUUCCCAUGGUUGGAAGGACACUGGAUGUAGGCAGGUUGGCCGAACCAGUAUAAAAACGUAGUGUUUGAAUCUUUUAAUCCUUAGUCUUUUACAUUUAAUCGACUUCCUUCUAUAUUCAUUCAAUUAAGUUUCUAUUGCAUUAAAAAAUCUUUUACUUUGCGUUUCAAGAAACGAUUAAAGGCAUUUCCUUUUGUGAAAAAGAUUUUAUAAGAUUUUGUUUUUAUAUUUCACCAAUUCACCCCCCCCCCCCUCCUUUCUUGAUGUAAGAAAUUGAGCCAUUCUAUUUUAACAAUUGGCACCAAAGUUGGUUUUCAUAAAAUAUUUGAAAAACUAAUCGAUUUCUAUUUCCGAUUAAUCGAUUGAUCUUGGAAAAUGGCUUUCAAUUCUAAGACCUUUGGUGAAGGUGCUUCAAAAAAUAGACCACUACUACUUGUUGGAGAAAAUUAUGCCCUUUGGAAAAUGAGGAUGCAAAUCUUUCUUGAAUUGGUGGAUAAAGGAAUUUGGGAUGCAGCUCUAAAUGGUCCAUAUGAACCCACUCAUGUUUUAAGUGGAAAAGUUGUUUUGAAAAUUUUUUCAGAGUGGACUCAAGAUGAAAACCGUAGAGCGCGGUAUGAUGUAAAGGCUAGAAAUGUUAUUGCGUCUACACUAGCAAUGGAUGAAUUUUUCAGGAUAUCACAAUACAAAACGACCAAAGAGAUGUGGGAGGUCCUUGAAGUCACACAUGAAGGAACUGAAGAAGUGAAAAGGGCCAGAAAGAAUUCUCUUAUACAAGAAUAUGAGUUGUUCAGGAUGAAAGUUGGAGAGACGAUCUAUGAAGUACAGAAGAAAUUUACACACAUAGUAAAUCAUCUCAUGGCUCUCAGAAAUAAGUUUGGCAAAGAGGAAAUCAACAUCAAGAUCCUGAAAAGCCUCAAUAGAAACUAGCAGCCGAAAUUCACAACCAUAUCAAAAUCAAGAUAUUUAACCAAUAUGAAUAUGGAAACUUUGUUUGGAAAACUCAGGGAACAAGAACUGGAGCUUGGAAGGCUAAAAGAGGAAGAAGAAAUUGAGGAAAAGAAGUCAAUUACCCUUAAGGCCACAAGCAAGAAAGCCUCAAAGAAUCUUGAACCAGAAAAUGACUCAAAAGCAUAAUUGCAUGACAAAGAGAUCAUGAACAUGGUGGUAAAGAAAAUUUAAUCGAUUUAUGAAAAACAGAAGUUCUAUCACCGACAAUGCGGUUCCUGUAAAAGGAAAAAUAUUCAAGAAACAAUGUUGUUCAAUGCUAUGAGUGUGGAAGAGAAGGACAUAUCAAGCCUGAAUGUCCAUACUUGAAGAUCAAACAGAAAGCAAGCAGAAAGUUUCCACAGGACAAGAGUAGAAAGUAAAAGAAUGCAUACAUUGCUUGGGAAAAUAGUGAUUCUAAUUCUUCAAGCGAUGAAGAAUGCAACAUUGAGGAGGAGUCAAAUAUAUGUUUCAUUGUAGGCUCUCCAUAGACUGAUUAUGAUAAUGAUGAAAUAUUUGAGAACGAGCCAAAAGAACUGAAGUAUGAUAUGUUGUUGGAAGUUGAUGGGCGUCGCAGCCCAUGUAAAUUUAAUGUGCAUAAAGAAUGCAGUAUAGAUUAGGAAGUGACUCCUAGGUCGUCUCUCAAGGACCAAACUAUGGUUCAAGAAUUAGGUCUAACACGAAAAGGGGGGGUUUUGAAAGUGUUUUUGUGUAUGAAAGAAAUUAAAUUAAAACAUGAAAUUAAACAUAACUAAAAAGAAUUGAAAGCAUUGAGGUAAAUAUGGAGAACAGUAAAAGUCAAACAGAAUAGACGACAUAGUAAACGAAAAAAGUAAACUAAAUGUAAUAGACAGCAUAAAAACAGUAAAUUUAAUGGUCCUAAAGCAAGAUGUGUGAACUAAUUAACAUGCAACAGAUAAUAAAGUAACACUAGGUGAAUUAUUCAAAUGCAACACUUAAACUAAAACAUUGAAUGCACCUUGCAGCGAAAACAAAUAAAAUUCAAUUCAAUUUCAGCAUCUUCAACGCACAUUCAUAAAGGAAACAACAAAUUAAAGAAAACGCAUGAUUGAAAAUAAAAUCUAUGACUAAGCUACUUCAUUCAAGAUGUCACCUAGCUGGACGUAAGUCGUGCACCUUCCAACAAUGAUCAGUGUUUCCCCUCACGUAACAACCAUGAGCUCUUCUCCAAUUGAAAAAUGAAUCAAGGUGAAAACAGUGUGUGCAGGCCAUAGCUUUUAAAAGAAAGAAAUUGAAUUCCUUUUCUCCAAACCGUAAUUGUGUGCGUCGCUCCAGCAAAGAUGAGAUGAGCUUCUAAAUUAAUUCCCCACCAGGCCGUGGCAUGUCCAAAAAGAAAACGAAUGCACCACAUGCUCUAAAAUGUAAAUCAACGUCUCUGCCUAAGAAAAUGAAUCAGUGCUUUAUGGAAUAAUUAAAAAAAAAAAAAGGAAUUCCAUUCGAAUGGAAUAUGUAUCCUCUCAUGAGAAAGAAAGCAAAAUGAUUGCUAGACUUCCAAUGUUGUAUGUGGUCGUGUGUGCACUGUUUCCUCUUAUGUAAAUGAAAGUAGCGCUUCCUGCUGGACGUUCUCCCCACUUUCACGAACAAAACCAGUGCAUCCUAGAUCCAGCUAUUAUGCACCGUUUAACACUUCUUCCAGCCGUAACUUAUGCAUUCCAAUUUCUAAUUAAAUGAAAAUUAAAACGUUCCUUGCUUCCAGCACCGCAUGAGAACAAAAUGUUCAACUCCAUAAGGGAGGUAAAUAAAAGAAAUUGAAAUUGAAAGUGCUUCUAAAAUUCAUCCAAAAUCCCAUGACAGAGUAAACUUUCCAAAGCUCUCCAUAAAAAAAAAACGUUCAAAGCCAAGCAAAGUGAGUGUGGCGGCUGACCCCCAAAAGUAAUAACCGUGAGAGUUUUUUUAUGAGGGUGGGGUCCACACAAAAAACCCUAAGGUGCUAAGUCAUCUACCCUAACACUUGGGUUUAAUCCAUUUUACCAAAAUUGGCCCAAUCUAAAUAAAUUAAGACAAAAACAUUUUACACUACUACAUUACAAUUUAAUUAAUUCUAAAAUGUCUUUGUGCAGAGUCUUCAAUUAUUUGGUGUCCUUUCUAAUAUUCCAAAAUGUAUCUCCAAAGUUUUCCCUGCAAUUAAUAAUGCAAAUAAUUAGCUCAGAUUAUUCAAAUUAAUUAAAAUUAAAAUUUCUAGUCAAAUUAAGCACAAUUAGCAGAAAUGGAAAAAUACUGGACAUUUAAGCACAAUUCCCUGAUUAAUUUUAGCAUAAUAAACUGAGUGAAAUCAAGAAAAUAUUGACUCAUCAGACACGUUUCAAGAGAUACACGCAGAAGUUAUGCCACUCUAGUAUAAGGUAAAUUGAUUAACCUCUGACAGAAAGGAUUAUGAGUAUAGAAUUAAUAAUCUGGUAGAGGAAAAUGAAAAAUUGAAAAAGGAGUUAGAAACUGCCUUGGAGUUUGCUAAGUUAGUUAAAACUUAGACAAAGAUUAUUAAAAAAGAAUGUGACAUUGUCCAGUAGAUAUUGAAAAAAUUGAUUACUUGACUAGCACUCUAGCAAAAUUUACACAGGGUAAAGAAAACUUAAAUGUUGUGCUAAGAGCUUCUUGAAGAGCUAUCAACAGACAAGGCAUUGGUUAUAAGGCUAAGAGCAAUAGAAUAAACUCAAAGAAAUUUAUUGAUUUGAGUAAAUCUGCUACUAAUGCUUGUUUUUUAUUGCAACAUAAUUGGUCACAAUGUUAGAAAUUACUACCAUAGAAAGGUUGGAGUUCCCAAAGGAAAACACAAAUGGAUUCCUAAGGAACAACCUCUUGCAACUGACAAGAGAGAACCCAAGUUUAAAUGGGUACCAACGUAAAAAAUGUUUAACUUUGUUGUAUAAGACCCGAAAUAAAUGCAAUAAACUAUUUUAUUUUCUCCCAAGAGAGUUUUUCCCAAAUAAAGAUGAAUCUUAUGGAAUUUAAUAUUUCUGUGGUUUAUGAUGAAAUUAUGAUUGAUAAUUGUACUGAUUAAAAGUUUUCUGAUAUCUAUGUUUGAAUUGUAUGAAUACCUUGAUAUAUUUGAUUGGAAUAAUGAUUUUACGCGAGACUGUCGUUAAUUUUGGCUAGCUUGUAGUCUUGUCUUAUAAAAUUUUGUUGAAGAAACAUGAGUUAGAUGAUGUUGAACGAAUCAGGCAUUGAGGGUAGUAUUGGUUCGGGUUUGGGAAGGAAGUAAAAUUUGGGUAGUCAAUCAUUAGCCGUCGGUAAUACCCUUCGUUACUGUAAUGAUAUAUGUUAUGAAAAGGUUCGUAGCUUUAUUUUGAUAAAACUGUGAUGAAGCCUGACAAUUUAAACUAAGAAGAGAAAACAAAGUUUAUUUCUUAUAUAAUUUUCAAAAGAACCAUAUAGCCAAUAGCAGAUGAAUCAUAAAUAUGCAUUCAAAUUGGUUUUAUUAUUACUAUUUGAAAGAUAUAUUAUCUUUACCUUUAGAAGUCCCCACAAAUUCGAUAAUUCUUUUUAUAAACUGCAUAAAAUGGUAUGGUACUCGAAAAGUAUUUUUGAUCAUGUCUUGUUAUUAUUCUCCUUUCAAAAUCAUUUUCUACCAGUAUCAUGUAUGAGACAUUCAGUUUAUGCCUUGAGAAUAUAAAUACGUCUACUUUUAUAUUUAAAGUUUAAAUUGAAGUUAAUUAAAAGUAUAUAAAUACAUAUACACAUAUAUUUUAAUAAUAAAUAAAAACCAUGCUUACGAAAUUUUGACAUUUUUUUUAGAAGCUAUAUCUUUAAUUAUUGAAGAAUGGUAACUUUUGCAAAGAUAGUAGACAGUAGGUUUAAUAAAAAUUUCAUUAGCAGAUUUUAAGAAAUUAAUUACAAUUAAUAAAGGUUGUAAUUGUUUUGGAUGUGUUUUCUUUUGAAAUAUUUAGUCUUUGAAUCUUUUAAAAAAAAAUUAGUGAAUUAAGCUUUGUACAUGAACUAUCAUGAAAAUUUAAAACCCUAUGUUAUAAUUGUUUUGAAUUAAUAGCAUUGGAUACUCUUGUCACAUAAAUAUCAAUAAUUUAGAUUUUGUGGUUGAGAAUGCAGUAGCUUUCUCAUUCUCAUCAUCCAUGUGUAUAAUUUUCUUUUUUUCCUAACACAUAAUUUUCUCCUUUUUCCUUUCCACCCUAGCUUGAUUUGAUAAUUUGGCGUUAUACAACAAAAACUUAUACGUUGUAAAGAAAUGAAACAAAACACGCACAAAAAUUGAAAGUAGUUGCGAAGACAAGGAAUGAAAAUUAUAGGGUUUGGUUCCUCUGUGAUUAUAAUCGUCCAAACCAUUAGGUUGCUGAAAACAAGUAUAAAAUGUCAGCUUUCUAGUCUAAUGAAAUUAAUAAAAACAAUGAAAAAUAUAAAAAAGUGAACGUGAGAAUAAUCUAAGUUUCUUGGUGAAUAAAAGAGGCAUAGUACUUUAAAGGAGAGUAGCAGUAAAGCAAAGCAACGAGAGAUAGCAAAAAACUUUCUGGAUUGAGAUAGGGGAGCUAAUCUAUUUCUUUUCCUAAUAUUAGGAAGUAAGAAUUUACCUUGAUCUGUAUAAGGCGCGGAAUGAUGAUUGCUCUGGUAAAUUUUUCUGGAUGAAGAAAGAAUGUCUGGUUUCCAUCUAAGUGUAGCAAU